CCUACGGGUGGCAGCAGUGGGGAAUAUUGGACAAUGGGCGAAAGCCUGAUCCAGCCAUGCCGCGUGUGUGAAGAAGGCCUUCGGGUUGUAAAGCACUUUCAGUGGGGAAGAAAGCCUUGGGGCUAAUACCCUCGAGGAAGGACAUCACCCACAGAAGAAGCACCGGCUAACUCCGUGCCAGCAGCCGCGGUAAUACGGAGGGUGGCGAGCGUUAAUCGGAAUUACUGGGCGUAAAGCGCGCGUAGGCGGUCUGAUAAGCCGGUUGUGAAAGCCCCGGGCUCAACCUGGGAACGGCAUCCGGAACUGUCAGGCUAGAGUGCAGGAGAGGAAGGUAGAAUUCCCGGUGUAGCGGUGAAAUGCGUAGAGAUCGGGAGGAAUACCAGUGGCGAAGGCGGCCUUCUGGACUGACACUGACGCUGAGGUGCGAAAGCGUGGGUAGCAAACAGGAUUAGAUACCCCUGUAGUC
rnacentral:rRNA from 1 species